rnacentral:rRNA from 1 species
GACGAACGCUGGCGGCGUGCUUAACACAUGCAAGUCGAACGGAAAGGCCCUUCGGGGUCCUCGAGUGGCGAACGGGUGAGUAACACGUGGGUGAUCUGCCCUGCACUUUGGGAUAAGCCUGGGAAACUGGGUCUAAUACCGGAUAGGUCCACGGCAUUCAUGUGCUGUGGUGGAAAGCUUUUGCGGUGUGGGAUGGGCCCGCGGCCUAUCAGCUUGUUGGUGGGGUAAUGGCCUACCAAGGCGACGACGGGUAGCCGGCCUGAGAGGGUGACCGGCCACACUGGGACUGAGAUACGGCCCAGACUCCUACGGGAGGCAGCAGUGGGGAAUAUUGCACAAUGGGCGCAAGCCUGAUGCAGCGACGCCGCGUGAGGGAUGACGGCCUUCGGGUUGUAAACCUCUUUCGCCAGGGACGAAGCGCAAGUGACGGUACCUGGAGAAGAAGGACCGGCCAACUACGUG